GGGUUGUGAGGUUAAGCGACUAAGCGUACACGGUGGAUGCCCUGGCAGUCAGAGGCGAUGAAGGACGUGCUAAUCUGCGAUAAGCGUCGGUAAGGUGAUAUGAACCGUUAUAACCGGCGAUUUCCGAAUGGGGAAACCCAGUGUGAUUCGUCACACUAUCAUUAACUGAAUCCAUAGGUUAAUGAGGCGAACCGGGGGAACUGAAACAUCUAAGUACCCCGAGGAAAAGAAAUCAACCGAGAUUCCCCCAGUAGCGGCGAGCGAACGGGGAGCAGCCCAGAGCCUGAAUCAGUGUGUGUGUUAGUGGAAGCGUCUGGAAAGGCGCGCGAUACAGGGUGACAGCCCCGUACACAAAAAUGCACAUGCUGUGAGCUCGAUGAGUAGGGCGGGACACGUGGUAUCCUGUCUGAAUAUGGGGGGACCAUCCUCCAAGGCUAAAUACUCCUGACUGACCGAUAGUGAACCAGUACCGUGAGGGAAAGGCGAAAAGAACCCCGGCGAGGGGAGUGAAAAAGAACCUGAAACCGUGUACGUACAAGCAGUGGGAGCACGCUUAGGCGUGUGACUGCGUACCUUUUGUAUAAUGGGUCAGCGACUUAUAUUCUGUAGCAAGGUUAACCGAAUAGGGGAGCCGAAGGGAAACCGAGUCUUAACUGGGCGUUAAGUUGCAGGGUAUAGACCCGAAACCCGGUGAUCUAGCCAUGGGCAGGUUGAAGGUUGGGUAACACUAACUGGAGGACCGAACCGACUAAUGUUGAAAAAUUAGCGGAUGACUUGUGGCUGGGGGUGAAAGGCCAAUCAAACCGGGAGAUAGCUGGUUCUCCCCGAAAGCUAUUUAGGUAGCGCCUCGUGAAUUCAUCUCCGGGGGUAGAGCACUGUUUCGGCAAGGGGGUCAUCCCGACUUACCAACCCGAUGCAAACUGCGAAUACCGGAGAAUGUUAUCACGGGAGGCACACGGCGGGUGCUAACGUCCGUCGUGAAGAGGGAAACAACCCAGACCGCCAGCUAAGGUCCCAAAGUCAUGGUUAAGUGGGAAACGAUGUGGGAAGGCCCAGACAGCCAGGAUGUUGGCUUAGAAGCAGCCAUCAUUUAAAGAAAGCGUAAUAGCUCACUGGUCGAGUCGGCCUGCGCGGAAGAUGUAACGGGGCUAAACCAUGCACCGAAGCUGCGGCAGCGACGCUGAUGCGUUGUUGGGUAGGGGAGCGUUCUGUAAGCCUGUGAAGGUGUGCUGUGAGGCAUGCUGGAGGUAUCAGAAGUGCGAAUGCUGACAUAAGUAACGAUAAAGCGGGUGAAAAGCCCGCUCGCCGGAAGACCAAGGGUUCCUGUCCAACGUUAAUCGGGGCAGGGUGAGUCGACCCCUAAGGCGAGGCCGAAAGGCGUAGUCGAUGGGAAACAGGUUAAUAUUCCUGUACUUGGUGUUACUGCGAAGGGGGGACGGAGAAGGCUAUGUUGGCCGGGCGACGGUUGUCCCGGUUUAAGCGUGUAGGCUGGUUUUCCAGGCAAAUCCGGAAAAUCAAGGCUGAGGCGUGAUGACGAGGCACUACGGUGCUGAAGCAACAAAUGCCCUGCUUCCAGGAAAAGCCUCUAAGCAUCAGGUAACAUCAAAUCGUACCCCAAACCGACACAGGUGGUCAGGUAGAGAAUACCAAGGCGCUUGAGAGAACUCGGGUGAAGGAACUAGGCAAAAUGGUGCCGUAACUUCGGGAGAAGGCACGCUGAUAUGUAGGUGAAGUCCCUCGCGGAUGGAGCUGAAAUCAGUCGAAGAUACCAGCUGGCUGCAACUGUUUAUUAAAAACACAGCACUGUGCAAACACGAAAGUGGACGUAUACGGUGUGACGCCUGCCCGGUGCCGGAAGGUUAAUUGAUGGGGUCAGCGCAAGCGAAGCUCUUGAUCGAAGCCCCGGUAAACGGCGGCCGUAACUAUAACGGUCCUAAGGUAGCGAAAUUCCUUGUCGGGUAAGUUCCGACCUGCACGAAUGGCGUAAUGAUGGCCAGGCUGUCUCCACCCGAGACUCAGUGAAAUUGAACUCGCUGUGAAGAUGCAGUGUACCCGCGGCAAGACGGAAAGACCCCGUGAACCUUUACUAUAGCUUGACACUGAACAUUGAGCCUUGAUGUGUAGGAUAGGUGGGAGGCUUUGAAGUGUGGACGCCAGUCUGCAUGGAGCCGGCCUUGAAAUACCACCCUUUAAUGUUUGAUGUUCUAACGUUGACCCGUGAUCCGGGUUGCGGACAGUGUCUGGUGGGUAGUUUGACUGGGGCGGUCUCCUCCUAAAGAGUAACGGAGGAGCACGAAGGUUGGCUAAUCCUGGUCGGACAUCAGGAGGUUAGUGCAAUGGCAUAAGCCAGCUUGACUGCGAGCGUGACGGCGCGAGCAGGUGCGAAAGCAGGUCAUAGUGAUCCGGUGGUUCUGAAUGGAAGGGCCAUCGCUCAACGGAUAAAAGGUACUCCGGGGAUAACAGGCUGAUACCGCCCAAGAGUUCAUAUCGACGGCGGUGUUUGGCACCUCGAUGUCGGCUCAUCACAUCCUGGGGCUGAAGUAGGUCCCAAGGGUAUGGCUGUUCGCCAUUUAAAGUGGUACGCGAGCUGGGUUUAGAACGUCGUGAGACAGUUCGGUCCCUAUCUGCCGUGGGCGCUGGAGAACUGAGGGGGGCUGCUCCUAGUACGAGAGGACCGGAGUGGACGCAUCACUGGUGUUCGGGUUGUCAUGCCAAUGGCACUGCCCGGUAGCUAAAUGCGGAAGAGAUAAGUGCUGAAAGCAUCUAAGCACGAAACUUGCCCCGAGAUGAGUUCUCCCUGACUCCUUGAGAGUCCUGAAGGAACGUUGAAGACGACGACGUUGAUAGGCCGGGUGUGUAAGCGCAGCGAUGCGUUGAGCUAACCGGUACUAAUGAACCGUGAGGCUUAACCUUACAACGCCGAAG
rnacentral:rRNA from 1 species